CCAGACUCCUACGGGAGGCAGCAGUGGGGAAUAUUGCACAAUGGGGGGAACCCUGAUGCAGCGACGCCGCGUGGGUGAAGGAGUGCUUCGGCAUGUAAAGCCCUAUCGGCAGGGAAGAAGCAAGACGGUACCUGACUAAGAAGCCCCGGCUAACUACGUGCCAGCAGCCGCGGUAAUACGUAGGGGGCGAGCGUUAUCCGGACUCACUGGGUGUAAAGGGGGCGCAGACGGCAGCGCAAGCCAGGAGUGAAAGCCCGGGGCCCAACCCCGGGACUGCUCUUGGAACUGCGCGGCUGGAGUGCAGGAGGGGCAGGCGGAAUUCCUGGUGUAGCGGUGAAAUGCGUAGAUAUCAGGAGGAACACCGGUGGCGAAGGCGGCCUGCUGGACUGCGACUGACGUUGAGGCCCGAAAGCGUGGGGAGCAAACAGGAUUAGAUACCCUAGUAGAA
rnacentral:rRNA from 1 species